rnacentral:rRNA from 1 species
UACAGAGGUCUCAAGCGUUGUUCGGAUUCAUUGGGCGUAAAGGGUGCGUAGGCGGCGCGGUAAGUCGGGUGUGAAAUCUUGGAGCUUAACUCCGAAACUGCAUUCGAUACUGCCGUGCUUGAGGACUGGAGAGGAGACUGGAAUUUACGGUGUAGCGGUGAAAUGCGUAGAUAUCUGCAGGAACACCCGUGGCGAAAGCGGCGAGCUGGAUCACUACUGACGCUGAGGAACGAAAGCUAGGGGAGCAAACAGG